GAGUUUGAUCCUGCUCAGAUGACGCUAGCGACAGCUACACAUGCAAGUCGAGGGUACAGAUGAGAGCUGCUCAGAUGCUGACGACCGGCGCACGGGUGGGUAACACGUAUGCAACCUACCUUUUACAGAGGGAUAGCCCAGAGAAAUUUGGAUUAAUACCUCAUAAUAUUUUUAACUCGCAUGAGUUUUAAAUUAAAACUUCGGUGGUAAAAGAUGGGCAUGCGUUCUAUUAGUUUGUUGGUGAGGUAACGGCUUACCAAGACUACGAUAGAUAGGGGUUCUGAGAGGAUAGUCCCCCACACUGGUACUGAGACACGGACCAGACUCCUACGGGAGGCAGCAGUGAGGAAUAUUGGUCAAUGGUCGAAAGACUGAACCAGCCAUGUCGCGUGAAGGAUGACGGCCCUAUGGGUUGUAAACUUCUUUUGUAUGGGAAGAAAAGCAGUUACGUGUAAUUGUCUGCCGGUACCAUACGAAUAAGGAUCGGCUAACUCCGUGCCAGCAGCCGCGGUAAUACGGAGGAUCCAAGCGUUAUCCGGAUUUAUUGGGUUUAAAGGGUGCGUAGGCGGCUCUAUAAGUCAGUAGUGAAAUCUCGAAGCUCAACUUCGAACGUGCUAUUGAAACUGUAGAGCUUGAGUACAGACGAGGCAGGCGGAAUGUGUUGUGUAGCGGUGAAAUGCUUAGAUAUAACACAGAACACCGAUAGCGAAGGCAGCUUGCCAGACUGUAACUGACGCUGAGGCACGAAAGCGUGGGGAGCGAACAGGAUUAGAUACCCUGGUAGUCCACGCCGUAAACGAUGAUUACUGGUUGUAGGCGAUACAUUGUCUGUGACUGAGCGAAAGUAUUAAGUAAUCCACCUGGGGAGUACGUCGGCAACGAUGAAACUCAAAGGAAUUGACGG
rnacentral:rRNA from 1 species